CGCGUAGGUGGUUUGAUAAGUUGGAUGUGAAAUCCCCGGGCUUAACCUGGGUCGGUCAUUCAAAACUGUCAGACUAGAGUAUGGUAGAGGGUAGUGGAAUUUCUAGUGUAGCGGUGAAAUGCGUAGAUAUUAGAAGGAACACCAGUGGCGAAGGCGACUGCCUGGACUGAUACUGACACUGAGGUGCGAAAGCGUGGGUAGCGAACAGGAUUAGAUACCCUGGUAGUC
rnacentral:rRNA from 1 species